CGUUCUAUGGCUUAGUUUGUUAAACCGACAGUCUAGCGUAUUCGGAGUCGUGGGUUCAAAUCCCACCAGAACGU
rnacentral:tRNA from 1 species